ACGAACGCUGGCGGCGUGCCUAAUACAUGCAAGUUGCGCGAUGAAGAUUGGUGCUUGCCCCAAUUUGAAGAGCAGCGAACGGGUGAGUAACGCGUGGGGAAUCUGCCUUUGAGCGGGGGACAACAUUUGGAAACGAAUGCUAAUACCGCAUAAUAACUUUAAACAUAAGUUUUAAGUUUGAAAGAUGCAAUUGCAUCACUCAAAGAUGAUCCCGCGUUGUAUUAGCUAGUUGGUGAGGUAAAGGCUCACCAAGGCGAUGAUACAUAGCCGACCUGAGAGGGUGAUCGGCCACAUUGGGACUGAGACACGGCCCAAACUCCUACGGGAGGCAGCAGUAGGGAAUCUUCGGCAAUGGACGAAAGUCUGACCGAGCAACGCCGCGUGAGUGAAGAAGGGUUUCGGAUCGUAAAACUCUGUUGGUAGAGAAGAACGUUGGUGAGAGUGGAAAGCUCAUCAAGUGACGGUAACUACCCAGAAAGGGACGGCUAACUACGUG
rnacentral:rRNA from 1 species